AGAGAGCUGGAUCUGAGAGGAAACGCGCUGCAGGAUUCAGGAGUUAAGCUGCUUCGUGAUCUGAAGAAUAGUUUGCACUGUAAACUGGAGACUCUGAGAUGGAAGUUUACUCACUAACUGGGAUCAGAAAGGUGGAUGUUUUGAGAGGUUAAGGGGUGUCCUGAUGAUCCAGAGACGCUAAGCAGCCUUAGCUCUGACUGGGUCAUGUUACUGGGAUGACUUUUAUUGCUGAGAACUGCUCUGAGAUCAGCUCCAUGGUCCACCAUCAACAUCAUCAUCAUCAUCAUCAUCAUUGUCAUCAUCCCUGUGUGUUCUUCUAGAUCUGUGUCAUCACUGUAUCUGGACUGCUCUGCUGCAGCUUUUUCCUUCCACACAAUCUCAGCAGACACACUAAGACUCUUCCAUUCCUUUUGCUCCACACUUAUUCAAAUCCUCCACCUGGACAAGAAGACAAAACCUGUAGAAAGUGUAGAUUUAAAUAUAGUUCACUGAAGUCU